GACGAACGCUGGCGGCGUGCCUAAUACAUGCAAGUAGAACGCUGAAGGAGGAGCUUGCUUCUCUGGAUGAGUUGCGAACGGGUGAGUGACGCGUAGGUAACCUGCCUGGUAGCGGGGGAUAACUAUUGGAAACGAUAGCUAAUACCGCAUAACAGUAGAUAUCGCAUGAUAUCUACUUGAAAGGUGCAAUUGCAUCACUACCAGAUGGACCUGCGUUGUAUUAGCUAGUUGGUGAGGUAACGGCUCACCAAGGCGACGAUACAUAGCCGACCUGAGAGGGUGAUCGGCCACACUGGGACUGAGACACGGCCCAGACUCCUACGGGAGGCAGCAGUAGGGAAUCUUCGGCAAUGGACGGAAGUCUGACCGAGCAACGCCGCGUGAGUGAAGAAGGUUUUCGGAUCGUAAAGCUCUGUUGUAAGAGAAGAACGAGUGUGAGAGUGGAAAGUUCACACUGUGACGGUAUCUUACCAGAAAGGGACGGCUAACUACGUG
rnacentral:rRNA from 1 species